rnacentral:rRNA from 1 species
GUGAGGAAUAUUGGACAAUGGAUGGAAAUCUGAUCCAGCCAUGCCGCGUGCAGGAAGACGGCCCUAUGGGUUGUAAACUGCUUUUAUACGGGAGCAAUAAGGUCUAUGCAUAGAUUGAUGAGAGUACCGUAUGAAUAAGCAUCGGCUAACUCCGUGCCAGCAGCCGCGGUAAUACGGAGGAUGCGAGCGUUAUCCGGAUUUAUUGGGUUUAAAGGGUGCGUAGGCGGCUUUGUAAGUCAGCGGUGAAAUUUUGCAGCUUAACUGUAAAAGCGCCGUUGAUACUGUGAAGCUAGGAUUUGGUUGCUGUGGGCGGAAUGUGUGGUGUAGCGGUGAAAUGCAUAGAGAUCACACAGAAUAUCGAUUGCGAAGGCAGCUCACAAAGCCAAUAUUGACGCUGAGGCACGAAAGUGUGGGGAUCAAACAGGAUUAGAUACCCUGGUAGUCC